GUUCUGUUUAAUUAAGAUUUUCUUAUCCCCUGCUAUGUUAAUAGCUUGCUUAAUCCUGCAAGAGCCUCCUGUAUGUGAUUAAAGUUCAAUUUAGAGAUUGAGAUACAAUUAUUUAAGGUAAAUUACAUCUGUUUGAAAGUGAAACCAGUUUUUUUUUUUUCAUGCAGGCUCUGUCAAUCACAGCCAGGGGAGGUGUGGCUAGGGCUGCAUAAACAGAAACAAAGUGAUUUAACUCCUAAAUGGCAGUGAAUUGAGCAGUGAAACUGCAGGGGAAUGAUCUAUACACUAAAACUGCUUUAUUUAGC